GACGAACCGUGCGAACGUUGUUCGGAAUCACUGGGCUUAAAGGGCGCGUAGGCGGGCUGGCGAGUCCGGGGUGAAAUUCACCGGCUUAACCGGUGGGCUGCCCCGGAUACUGCCGGCCUGGAGGGGGGUAGGGGCACGCGGAACUAUGGGUGGAGCGGUGAAAUGCGUUGAUAUCCAUAGGAACUCCGGUGGCGAAGGCGGCGUGCUGGACCCCAUCUGACGCUGAGGCGCGAAAGCCAGGGGAGCGAACGGG
rnacentral:rRNA from 1 species